rnacentral:tRNA from 1 species
GGGGUUGUAGGGUAGUCUGGUUUAUCCUUCGGCGUUCGGGUCGCCGUGACCUGAGUUCAAAUCUCAGCAACCCCA